GCUUACGGCCACACUGCCUGGUUCACGCCCGAUCUCGUUUGAUCUCGGAAGCUAAGAUAGGGUUGGCCUGGUUAGUACUUGGAUGGGAGACCGCCUGGGAAUACCAGGUGCUGAAAGAU
rnacentral:rRNA from 1 species